CCUACGGGGGGCAGCAGGCGCGAAACCUCCGCAAUGUGAGAAAUCGCGACGGGGGGAUCCCAAGUGCCAUUCUUAACGGGAUGGCUUUUCAUUAGUGUAAAGAGCUUUUGGAAUAAGAGCUGGGCAAGACCGGUGCCAGCCGCCGCGGUAACACCGGCAGCUCUAGUGGUAGCAAUUUUUAUUGGGCCUAAAGCGUCCGUAGCCGGUUUAAUAAGUCUCUGGUGAAAUCCUGUAGCUUAACUGUGGGAAUUGCUGGAGAUACUAUUAGACUUGAGACCGGGAGAGGUUGGAGGUACUCCCAGGGUAGAGGUGAAAUUCUGUAAUCCUGGGAGGACCGCCUGUUGCGAAGGCGUCUAACUGGAGCGGUUCUGACGGUGAGGGACGAAAGUUAGGGGCGCGAACCGGAUUAGAUACCCGGGUAGUCCUAACUGUAAACGAUGCGGACUUGGUGUUGGGGUGGCUUUGAG
rnacentral:rRNA from 1 species